CUUCAAGGUCGUUUAAAGACGGACACGUCCUCCAAGCGGGAGCACGGAGCCUAAAGCGUAAGACGUUGGCCUGAGCGGUUUUCCGGGAACUUGGCUUCGGCGGCAUCGAGUCCGGUCUGAGCCGGUUCACACCGGACAGGACCACUGACGCGUCAACGGGGCAUGCGCAGAUCGGCGAGCUUGGGCCGGUGCGGCGGGUGCUUAAUGAUGCCUGCGCGGAACAAUGUCGAGCACACAUUUUUCCAAUCACCGUUUCCCUGGUGGCUCAGAUGGUAAAGAAACCGCCUGCAGUGCAGGUUCGAUCCCUGGGUCAGGAAGAUCCCCCGGAGGAGGGCAUGGCAACCCACUGCAGUAUUCUUUGCUGGAGAAUCUCAUGCAGAGUGGAGCCUAGUGAGCCAUACAGUCCAUGGGGUCGCAAAGAGUCAGACAUGACUGAGGCUGACACUUUUCCCCUCUGGCCAUGCCUCAGGCCACCUUUCUUUAUUCCUUCCUACAACAAAUGGUGACUCUGGCGGGGACUCUUCUUCCCUGAGACUGACAUCCUGACCACUUGGGGUACUCAGGGGCCAGCUUGCCUGCCAAUGGACCAGACCCAGUGGCCGCAACUGGGACCCUUUUGUCCCUGGUCUCCUCCUGAUGUGGACAACUGGCCAGAGUGCCCCGACCGCCCCCAUGUUACAGAUGAGACGCUGGAUGGACUCAGAACAUCUAACUCAGAAUCUCAAAGAAAAAGCCCCGGACCUAGGAUGACUCAGGCGGCUGUGCAACGCAGGCUUGAACCUGUCGGGCGGCCUGUCUGUCCCUGAAGGCUUUGAUCCGCCCGCCCUGCACGGUAAGACUCCGUCUGCAGUGCUUGCGGGCAGUCAGCGACGCUGCUGCCGGAUGCCUCUGGACAACAAAAGCGGCGCGGGACACAGACCCAACAACAAAGUCCGUCCCUGGGGCUCUGAACUAGCCAAAAAAAAAAAAGAUGAUGAUGAAUUUGUUGUUGUUGUUGUUAAUGCCAAAGCCGGCUCCAGUGAAGCAAGCGAGCGCCUGCUGUCCCAUGCCUUGUAACAGUAAGCCGGGAUAGGUUCUCUUGGGCUCCGAGGAAACGUGCCAGUCUGUUUGUAAUUCCGCAGCUCACAGCAUGCCUGUCAGAGGCUGGCCCUUCAUUUCCACUGGCGACUCUCUGGCCUUCUGAAGGCUUCGCAGGUCCCAGAGCCAAGAGUCCUGGCCCCAGAUUCUCAGGGGCUGGCGGCCCUCCUCACCGCAUCGUCCGUUUCCCAGCAC
ensembl:lncRNA